rnacentral:rRNA from 1 species
UACGUAGGGGGCAAGCGUUGUCCGGAAUCAUUGGGCGUAAAGAGCGUGUAGGCGGCUCGAUAAGUCUGCUGUGAAAGUCCAGGGCUCAACCCUGGAAAGCCGGUGGAUACUGUCGGGCUAGAGUCCGGAAGAGGCGAGUGGAAUUCCUGGUGUAGCGGUGGAAUGCGCAGAUAUCAGGAGGAACACCGAUGGCGAAGGCAGCUCGCUGGGACGGUACUGACGCUGAGGCGCGAAAGCGUGGGGAGCGAACAGG